rnacentral:rRNA from 1 species
UAUUAUUAUAAAUGUAAAUUUUUUUCCUAAGUAGUAUUAGUUAUGAUCUUGAAAUUUAAAAAUUUUGGCGGUAUUUUAGUCUAUUCAGAGGAACCUGUUCUAUAAUUGAUAGUCCACGAAUAAUUAUACUUUUUUUAUUAAUUUAUAUAUCGUCGUUAUUAAAUAUUUUAUAAGAAUUAUAAUAUUUAAGAUUUUUUAUUAAAAAAUAUAUCAGAUCAAGGUGUAGUUUAUAAAAAAGAAGAAAUGGGUUACAAUAAAUUUAUUUUUAAAUUUAUAUAUAAAAAUAUAUAAUGAAAAUGGAUUUGAAAGUAAUAAAUUAAAAAUUUAAUUUAUGAUUUUAGCUCUAAAAUGUGU